GAUUUGUACUAAGCAAUAUCUGAUUACAAAAGCCAAGGUUGAGAGUGCUUUCAAUCGCCAGGAAGCCUCAACCUAAGAAGCAAAACGUCUACCACAGGCAGCCACCUGCAGUGAUCUCCAAUCUGUUUGAGGCUGCCUGCUGACAAAAAUGACGAUGAACUCGCCUUCGACUAAACUGGACUUCUCGGAGUAGAAGUUGGGAAGGUUUUUCAGAGUGCAUUUCCGUAUUGACGAAAAUGGCAAUGUUCAUUAUGGAGCCGGCCAGACUAAGGAGCAGUGGAGGAGGAAUGCAUCAGCGUCAAAGCUGCAUGGGAGCCACACGACAUCAGUAGCAAAGGACACAUCGACAUCUCAACCAGGCAUAACGCGGAGGUGCUAAAGAAUCUCCACUGGAAGACACUACAGGGAGAGGAGAGGAGGCAAAUUUGGGGUCCUGUUCCGCACUUCCAGUUCCAUUGCAUCAGAGGUUUGGUGCGAGAGGUUGCUGUUUCGAACGUUCCAUUCUAUUCUUGUAAACAAGUUGUCACCAUCUUGAGGAAAAGUUGCAGCGCCACCGGGCUGGACGAACCUAUAAACCUCAAAGGCGUUGAGGAUGGGGCCAUAGUCUGAACCUUGACUGGCCUCCACCGUCAAAGAGUACUGGGCAAGGCUUAAAGGCCUACCCCUAAAUCCAUGGUCAGGAACGACCAAUCUCGACUCUUAAACCACAGAAGAAAAGGGGGAGACGAAGAGAAACCCCUCCCGCUACUCCAAAAUGCUUACGCUUACGAGGAAGAUGAGAAGAGGCAGCGGCGGAGGACGAAGAUGAGAAGAGGAAGAUGGGAGGAGCCCGACGCGAAGAGCUGGAAACAUUUUUCCACCUCUCCCGGUGGGAACAUUUUUUUGGGAAAUCUUGUGGAUUCCAGCCUCAACGGUCUCAAAAAAAAAUUCCGCCUUUGAUAAACUCUAAAAAUUUUAACAUUGUGAAAUUUUUUUUCUGAGCUACAGGAAAUUUCCGGCCCAUUUGAAACGGAGUUUGACUACAAGGAGUAUUCAAGGGUUGAUACUGUGGAAGAAAAUAGGAACUUUUUGCAGCAUUUUUUUUACUAUGUUUUACAUAAACAAAAUGAUAUCACCUUGCCUACUGGAGGUUCAUUUUACAACAGUGAUGAGAUUCAGCCUCUAGCAUCAAUGCUACCUUGGGACCUUGGGUAGAUACACUUCAAGCGUUCUAUUUGUCGAUCAAGUAUUGUGGUAGAUGGCAAUCAAGCCACUAUGUUUUUGUCUCCAUCUGUCACUGUCAUACCACUUUGUGUGCCGAAGUACAAAAAGGGCGAGUGCUACAUUCAUUAUCAUGAUAGGGAUGAACCAAGACAUGCAGUCCUAUAACCUUUUGGCUGAUAUGUGUCCCCGCUCUUUUAACAUGGAGAAUCGUAUGAUAUUAUUCACUACUAUAGAAUCAGCCACCAAGAUGCUACCCUGCCAUCAUUUCGAAGUUGUAGGUUGGGUAGGGAAGGCCAUUAACAUAUCCCUUUCUGGAUCCAAUUAUGGCCAAUUCAGCGUACGUUUUGUAGGAAAAGAAGGAAGCAGUUAUUAUUUCUUGCAUGAGCAAUAUGAAAUGCAGGCAGACUUUCACUUCAUGGGAAGGAGGGGAGAAAAUGAGAUCGAGGGGACAAUUAAAGAGGCAGAGCAGGUGUACAGAGCCCUACAGUUGCAAAUGAAUGAAGGUGUUGGUGCUUGCUCCCAUCUAAUAGAAGAACUCCUUCAACAUACUUCUGCUGGAACAAGGUGGAUCUUGGUCUGUACUUAUUCUUGUAGAUCAACAGCUAGAGAGUGUUACGAAAUGGAUGAGGCAGAAGAUGAGAUCAGUUCUACUACAAAGUUUGAAAAUAUUUGGCAGCUGUCCAUGCUUAGAAUUGUUGGAGGGAACAUUCUCUCUGAAGAACCCUACAGAUAUCUCAAGAUAAAGGUUAUGUACUUGGCAGAAGAUUACCACUCCACGAGGUUACAGGUUAGGGCUGGUCAAAGCUGGUGAAAGAGUUGUGCAAGGCCUCGCAACAGAUUGGAUAUUGGAAGAGUUCACAGGCAACCCACAUCAGAGGCCUUCCCAUCUGUUACUAUCUCAUCUUCUAAAGAUGGACUCAUGCUUUGCAUUAACCUGAAGUGCAGGCUUCCACCGCAACUAUCCAAAUAUGAAAGAAUAAGAAAGCUAGGACAUGACACUUCCAUUAACCAAGCUGCUGGCCUGUAUCCGUGGUUCUCUCUCAUGCUUAUUUUGUGGGAGCGUCGAAGAGGAAGCAGCUAAUUUUCAAGUGUACACUUAUACUAUCAGGACUGUUAUUAAGACAGGUCUUUCAGUUGGUGGUCCACUUUGUCCUGCGGACAGCAAGGAACCUUCUUCAUCGGCAUUCAUUUCCCAUGCUCACAUCUUGAGGUCAACUUAUUUUUCGGAGGGAGUAAUGUUAGUGUCCAUGUUUUUGGGUCGGUAAUCGGGUCUAUGGGACUGUGGUUAUAAAUAAGGGAUUUGGGGGUGCAAUUAGGGAUAUCGAAUGUAAUGCAAUCCUUUCUCUGGUGAGGGUUUGCUCUAACUAGGUUAGGGCAGAGCGUGUGAGUGAGUUUGGGGUAGUGUUUACAAUUACAUUGUAAGAGACGGCAGUUAGCAGGUGGUUGCUAACAGCCAUCUACAUAUCCACAUAUUCACAUGGACAUACUUCAGAAGUGUUAGUCAAAAAAUUGUUGUUCUAAGAAGACUGCGGAAAACUCACCUGAAUGCCUAGCAUGGUGGAUCUGAAUCCACUCUGCAACUAGCUUCCAUUUACACAUAAAAGUGCUAUGAACUAGGCCAAUCUGUACUUGUCAAACAUGACAUACAAGUAUAUAACC